GAGUUUGAUCCUGGCUCAGGAUGAACGCUGACAGAAUGCUUAACACAUGCAAGUCUAUCUGAGUCUUCGGACAAGGAUGGCGGACGGGUGAGUAACGCGUAAAGAACUUGCCUUGUAGAUCGGGACAACAUUUGGAAACGGAUGCUAAUACCGGAUAUUAUGCAUUUCCCACAUGGGAGAUGUAUGAAAGCUAUAUGCGCUACAAGAGAGCUUUGCGUCCUAUUAGUUAGUUGGUGAGGUAACGGCUCACCAAGACAGUGAUAGGUAGCCGGCCUGAGAGGGUGAACGGCCACAAGGGGACUGAGACACGGCCCUUACUCCUACGGGAGGCAGCAGUGGGGAAUAUUGGACAAUGGACCAAAAGUCUGAUCCAGCAAUUCUGUGUGCACGAUGAAGUUUUUCGGAAUGUAAAGUGCUUUCAGUUGGGACGAAGAAUGUGACGGUACCAACAGAAGAAGCGACGGCUAAAUACGUG
rnacentral:rRNA from 1 species